UCAUUCCAAAACCAUUCCUUUCUUUUAAUAACUAUCACCUAUAAUUAAAUCAAUUAGGGUUGUCGAAAAUUUGCAAAUUUAGACCUAAUUUCAAGCCGUACAAACUGAGAACAAGUCGAAUUGAGUCUCAAAUGCUACGCAAAUUUAGCUAAUUUCCCCACUUGAACACGCUUCGAUCUCUUCCCGCUGUUGGGGACUUCUUUAAUUUCUCCAGAGGAAGUUCUACGCUAUUGCUAAUCAAGGGACGGAGUUAAAUCUGGCGUCCGAUAUCUGGAAGCGACUUUUCGCGCCAAGAAGCAGAAGAUCUGCUCCAAUUGUUCCGAUUCUUCGCCUUGGUCGGCAAUUCAAUCAAAGAAUGGAAGUUAUCAACCCUUUCAAGCUCUGUUCGGGCCUCAAGUUCCUUGGCUACUUCAUGAUUGUCUUGGUUUUCGCCAUUGUUGCAGUGUCCUACGAUGCGGUCGUAGUGCUCACCUGGGGUCCCAAAUUACUCGUCGGCGGCUUCGACUCCUUCCUCGCCUUCUCUAUCAUCAUUUUGUUUCAUGUUCUGCUUUUACUCUUGUCGUGGAGCUACUUUAUGGUACUCCUUGAAGAUCCUGGUUCCGUACCGGAAAAUUGGACUUUGGCAAGUGAAGCAGAGAAUAUGGAGGCUGGUAGUUCGUCAUUGCCGGAACAGGCACCAAUGGAUUUAGAUGGUGCCGGGAGAAGACCCACGACCUAUUGUCGUCGAUGCCAAAAUGGAAAACCACCACGCUGUCAUCAUUGCUCCGUUUGUCAAAGAUGUGUUCUUAAGAUGGAUCAUCAUUGUAUUUGGGUGGUUAAUUGUGUUGGAGCACGAAACUACAAAUUCUUUCUUCUUUUCUUGCUUUACACAUUCUUGGAGACAACAAUGGAUACACUUGUUUUGCUGCCUAGUUUUAUCAAAUUUUUUGAUGAAGCUAAGAGCCACACCGGUUCUUCUCCUGCCAAUCUUGUAAUCCUUUUUUUAGCUUUUGUUCUUAAUUUAGCCUUCGCACUCAGUCUUCUUUGUUUCGUAGUUAUGCAUGCAUCUCUCCUGAUGAGCAACACAACAUCAGUUGAGGUUCACGAGAAGAGAAGAGCAAGUCAAUGGAAGUAUGACCUAGGAAAGAAGAAAAAUUUUGAGCAGGUAUUCGGGACAAAGGCAGCACUGUGGCUUUUCCCAUUGUUUUCGAAGGAGGAUUUGGAGAAAAUUCCUGCACUUCGAGGCUUGGAAUUUCCAAUUCGUUCUGAUAUGGAGGCUUGACACCUUUUCCUUUUACUCCACUCAGUGUAAUGUAUAGUCUUAAUUUCCUUUAAACAAUCACGCAUGAAACCUUGUUCUAUGUAUGGCUUUCUUUGGGUGUGUCUAUUUGUAAAUUUGACAUUCUUUCAGAGAAGAUGUAUUUUUUCUGCAUAUAUGAGCCUCUCAUAAUCUUUCUGGGGAAAUCAAGUUUUUUCUCGUAAUUGCAUGUACUGAUAUUCAUGUUUCUAAUUCAUCAGCCAAAAAUAAUUGUAACUUCUGAUUGCAAAAUUUUCUUGCUUUAAAAUUCCUAUUUGCAUAUAAAAA